ACUCAGCUUACAUCGGAGCAGGCAGAUCACUGCCCUUCUGACGAGGGAUCCCUGGCAGCAAAACAUUAAGGGCUUUAGCUCAGCAAGGCAAAAGUAUCAGCUUCAUGAAGCUAUAACACUUUGAAGGUUACAUAGUUUUAUGCAACAAAGAAGAAGCAGCUCCUUCUCUACCUUCUACACUAGGGUAACUUCUGUGACUGUAAUCUGCUGACCUCUUACUGAAGUCAAGAUGGCUAAUACUCUUAAAAGAAGAAACAGAUGGCACCCGUUUGCAGAUGUCAAAUGCUUGCCUCACGUGGCAUGUUUACUAUUGGAUUUUCACCAGAGACUCCUGGCCCAGAUAGCGAGAUUUUUGUCAUAAUCACCAGCUUUAAACCUGAAGCAAACAUUCACUGACUAGACUGAGCCACAAUUACAUUUAUAUCUCUCAGUGCUUCUGAUUCUUUUUUAAAUUGACUGUAGAUUGGAGUACAGGAAAGGGAUUAGGGAUGCUUAGAGUUCAGGAAGUAAAGUAUUAGAAGUGGAUGUUAAAUAAUAGAUGGAAAAAGAAUAAAAAAUGUAACUCCUGCACUCCUAGGAGGGGAAUUGCAAUCUAAGAGCAGAGCUACAAGAGGAGAAGACCCACAUUUCUCAGUACAUGUGAGGCUGACUUGGGAGCAAUGCUAUGGGUGUUUGUGAUGAAUACUCUGAUUUAUACUCCGCUAUCCUUCUGCGCAAACUUUCCCACAUGAGCGUCUCAAGUGGAGCAGACAGGUGUAACCCUUUGUGUUACGGA